ACUGAGAGUUAGAAAGGUAACUUGUCUAAAUUCGUACAGCCAGUCAGAAUGGAGCUAAGAUUUGAACCCACAAUUGUCUGACUAGAGUUUGCACUCCUGGCCACUCUGCAAAUGGGUCUACAGUGAAAAGUCUUCUAAUCACCCUUGUAUUCUAGCCACCUGUUUUCUACCAUCCAGUGGGUCAAGAAAACUGCAUCAAAACAACCACAUCAAUUUUGAUACAAAAUGGGAAAACCAAUUGAAUGGCCUUGACCAGUGAUGGAAGAGAGGUUGGUCAACUUUCAGCUUCUUCCAAUCCCCCUCUUAAAUGUUAUGGACAUUUAUUGUUUUUUCUUGGCUACUCAGAAUCAAAACCCUUAAAAAA